GAUGAAGAACGUAGCGAAAUGCGAUACGUAAUGUGAAUUGCAGAAUUCAGUGAAUCAUCGAAUCUUUGAACGCACAUUGCGCCUGCCAGCACUCUGGCAGGCAUGCCUGUUCGAGCGUCAUUUCAACCAUCAAGCCCUAGGCUUGCGUUGGAGCCCUGCGGCUGCCGCAGGCCCCUAAAAGCAGUGGCGGGCUCGCUAUCACACCGAGUGCAGUAGAUUACUCUUCGCUCAGGGCGUGUGGCGGGUUCCAGCCGUGAAACCCCCUACUUCUCAAGGUUGACCUCGGAUCAGGUAGGAAUACCCGCUGAACUUAAGCAUAUCAAAGCGGAGGA
rnacentral:misc_RNA from 1 species